CGUAAAGCUCUGUUGUUAGGGAAGAACAAGUGCAAGAGUAACUGCUUGCACCUUGACGGUACCUAACCAGAAAGCCACGGCUAACUACGUGCCAGCAGCCGCGGUAAUACGUAGGUGGCAAGCGUUGUCCGGAAUUAUUGGGCGUAAAGGGCUCGCAGGCGGUUUCUUAAGUCUGAUGUGAAAGCCCCCGGCUCAACCGGGGAGGGUCAUUGGAAACUGGGAAACUUGAGUGCAGAAGAGGAGAGUGGAAUUCCACGUGUAGCGGUGAAAUGCGUAGAGAUGUGGAGGAACACCAGUGGCGAAGGCGACUCUCUGGUCUGUAACUGACGCUGAGGAGCGAAAGCGUGGGGAGCGAACAGGAUUAGAUACCCUGGUAGUCCACGCCGUAAAC
rnacentral:rRNA from 1 species